rnacentral:lncRNA from 1 species
CCCACAAUAAAACAGAAAAAGCUCUUACAUGGCUGGGGCAUGAGCCUGUACUCAUGCUGCAUGAAAACGAGAUUUUAUUUUUUUGGCUCAUUACACUUGAGUAAUACAGCUUCAUUCUCACAAAACUGCUGAGCCCUUCCUACAACGUCUGUUAACUGGUGUUCAGCAGAACAUCAUUGUUGUUCAUUCUGCAGUGAAGCAAAGGGCCAAAUAGCAAUGCAUUUAAAGUCAUAGCACCCUACAUUUUCAAUUAAGUGAGACAGCCAAGCAAUUCCUGUGGGGACCCAUCUCUACUAGUUCCUGAAGCCAGUAGAGAGGACAGCAAGCCGAGAAGAUAAGUGCUACCCUUCUUAGAUUUUUUUCAUCAACAUACAAACAGUCCGGUUAUGCAGAUGGGAAAACUUCAGCCACAAUGUUCCCUGGUCCUUAGGGAGCCAGACACUGAUACUAAUCCUGUCAUCAUGCCACCCACUGCCUUUAAUUAAAGGACGCUGUUGGUUCCAAGCUCACCAGAAAGCAUAAGGGGCAGAAUAGUUGACACAGAGCCCCCAGUGGGCAUAGACCACACAUGCAUUGCACAUAUGGCAAUUCAAGGGGACUCAAAGGGAACAGGGAUGGAGAGAAUGGCCAGACCGAUGCCAUUCACUCUAUUCUCAGUGGUCAAUUGAGAGUAGCACCCAUCUUCAGCGACUGGCCAUUUGUGCCCUGUCCAAGAUGAAUAAGAUAAGGGCAUGUAAAAGAAAAACCAGUUAUAAAGCCCUAAGCAAAAUCAUUUUCAAAGCCAGUUGAUUGAUGUGUUUGCCUGCUUCUUUGUAGGAAGUGGCAUACUCUAGAUAGGUGGCUUUCAAUAGAUUAGUUGGCAGUGGCACUCGUUCUCAGAGUCCUUCAAAAGUUCCUAAGAUAUUAACCAGGCAAAACCAGGGCGUCCCUAAUUGAAAUUAGGAUGAAGAUGAGAAUCCCACUCACAUGGUGUCUUUUCACCACCUGGUAUUAAUUGAAUUGUGCCCCGCCCCGCAAGGUACAUUAAAAUCCUAACACCCGGUACCUACCUGUAAAUGUGAUCUUUGUGGGGGAAAGAGUCUUUGCAGAUGUAAUUAGUCGAGCUGAGGUCAUACUAGAGGAGGGGGACCUGUAAUCCAAUAUGAACUGCUGUCCUUAUAAGAAGAGAGAAUCACCAGGGAAGAGAAUGCCAUGUGAAGACAACACUGAGGUAAGAUGGCCAUGUGAAGACAGAGGCAGAGAUUGGAGUGAUGUUGAUACAAGCCAAGGAACAUCUAGAGCCCCAAGAAACUGCAAAAGGCCACAAAGGAUCCUCUGCUAGAGGCAUUAGAGGGAGCGCGGUCCUGCCAACACCUUGAUUUUGGAUUUCUAACCUCCAGAACUAGAACUGAGAUGAUACAUUUUUGUCAUUGUAAGUCACCCAGUUUGUAGUAUUUUGUUGUAGCAGCCCUACAAAAGUAAUACACCCCCAAACCUACUGAACCCCAAAGACGACCUGAACCAUCCUAGUACUCCCAAGAACCUAAUUGGAAAAACACUAGUACAGAUCAAAAAUCCUGAGUUUGUAGUUUGAUAGAUGUUUCAAGUCCUGGAUUUACUGGUUAUUCCUUAUGCAAUCUCUGAUGAGUUUCAUAUUCUAUCAGGGCCAAAACUUAGCCUCUUGCUUUUUAAAAAAAAGGCAGGAGAGAAAAAGGGGGCAGGAGAGGUGAAUUUAUUCACUUAAUUUACCUAACAGUUUCAUGAAAUCUUCUGUGUGGGCCUACUCUGAGCACAUGUGCAUCAUACUCCAAAUCAUUAAGUAGCUGUCUGACCUCCCAACCAGAAUCCCCAAUUGGCCAGUUGUCUAGCCAGCCACUUUUUCUGUCUACCACUGCAGAUUUCCAGCCUGCAGCAGGCCUGAGUCUCUGGAAGAGAAAAGAUCUGACAUUAAAUCAAGUUCAAGUUGGAUCAUUCUAAUUUCUGAUUCAAGACUGUACUGCUAUGUAAGGUGACUACUGAACGUUUCUAAUAUAUGAGGAUGACCAGAAAAGUUGCAGGGUGGGUUGGGGUUCAUAUUUGGGACUAAGGGAAGGUUACUGAAUAAAUUUUAAAGGGAUAGUAGAAAACUAAAAGUGACAUCUGUUUUAACUAUGGCCUGAGUUAGGCUUGUUAGAUAUACAAGUUACAAGCAUUAAACAGAAGAUGUCUCUUACACUUCUGGGGGGAGAAUGUAGAUUGGGCUGUUGAAUAGACAAAGCUGGAGGUCACAGAGAGGGAUUCACAUCUAGGAGUGUCAGCAUAGAGAUGGUAUUUAAAUCCCUAGACUGGAUGCGAUUACCUAAGGAGGCACCAUAGCAAAGAAAGGAAGUCUGAGGGUCUGUAGGAGUCUUCCAGGGCUGCCAUAACAAAGUACCAUAACAAAUUCUGGGAAGCUUAAGGAACCAGAAUUUAUGUUCUCAGAGUUCUGGAGGCUGGAUGUCCAAUGUCAAGGCAUCAGCAAGGAUUAGUUUCCUCUCCUUAGCUUAUAGAUGGCAGUCUUCCUUUGUCUUCACAACAUCUUCCUCCUGUGUGUGCCUGCAUCUUAAUCUCUUAUUAUAAGGACACCAGUCAUAUUGGAUCGGGGUGUACCCCGAUGACCUGAUUUUACCUUAGUAACCUGUUUAAAGGCCCUACCUCCAAAUACAGUCUCUUUUUUGGGUACCAGGAGUUAGGACUUCAACAUGAAUUUUAGGGGGACCCAAUCCCGCCCAUAACAGUCUGUCUCCCUGGUACAGGGGCGUUGUAGAAUAACCUUUCAUAGAACAGUAAUGGUGAGCCCUGUGCCUGCCUGAACCCUAACCAAGACAAUCAAUUCUGAGUAUUCUUCCUUCCCAAAGCUCAGAAACACACAACAGCCAUGCAUCCAGAGUUUCAGGGAGGUCCACUUUUCUGAAUCAGCUUGUGGAAGGAAGGAAGGAAGGAAGGAAGGAAGGAAGGAAGGAAGGAAGGAAGGAAGGAAGGAAGGAAGGAAACAGGCACCACAAAUAUUGUUACCUUAAAUUAUAGUUUGCAGCCUGGAAGCUCACAGCUAGAAAACAUCUCCAGCCACCCCAGCUCAGCAACUUACUUUCAUGAAAGAUCACUACCUCCAAAAAGUAUGUUUUGACCUCACACUCGUUAGGAUGGCUGCUACCCAAAA